rnacentral:lncRNA from 10 species
CACAAUAGGACCUUAAUAAAUGUUGGCUUCUUCCUUCCUUACCAACACACACCCUCUUUUCUUUACAAAAUCCUGAUGGCAUACAAAUCCCCUCCAGCAGCUACUGAGGUUGGGCGGGCAUGGCAGGAGGGGCAGGAAAGCUACUGAGUCAGCAAGAUCCCUGGGAUGAGAGACUUCCUAGAAGCCCUGCUCUCUAAUCCUCCAGAGGUCUGAGCUCUUCACAUCCUCAAUAGUACUUAACACAGUUCUGGCACAUACCUCGGGAGCCUGCAAUGUAACUCUUAAGGAAGCUGAGACACUCCUGGUUCAGUCUCAGAGUCGCAUCGUGUUUAAGAAGCACCCCUACACAGAAAAGCCCAGGAAGACACCAUUCUUCGCUUGAUUCUCUCGAAGAGAAAAAUGAAUCUAAAUAUGCAGUCCAGGCUGGGCGCGGUGGCUCUCGCCUGUAAUCCCAGCACUUUGGGAGGCCGAAGUGGGUGGAUCACCUGAGGUCAGGAGUUCGAGAUCAGCUUGGCCAACAUGGUGAAACCCUGUCUUUACUAAAAAUCAGCCGGGUGUGAUGGUGGGAGCCUGUAAUCCCAGCUACUCGGGAGGCUGAGGCAGGAGAAACACUUGAACCUGGGAGGCAGAGGUUGCAGUGAGCUGAGAUCACGCCACUGCACUCCAGCCUGGACGGCAGAGCAAGACUCCAUCUCAAAAAAAUAAUAAUAAUAAAUAAAAUUAAUAUGCAGUCCAUGCAGCACUGAGUCCACUUUCUCCUCCUGUCCACUUCUAUCCUAGGUCUGGUUUGGCUCCUCUCUUCUCAGACUCCCUGAAAACCCCACCCCCAAGCUAUUCAGCAACUUCUCAUCAUCUCCCUACUUUGCUCCUCUCACUUCCAAUACUUUAUCAUGUGAAUCCACUUGGCCUGUCAUCCAGCAAUAGAGAAAUUAAAGGGGAAGACUGCUGGGUCCCUCAUAGGACUGGCUGGGGGAGGACCAGCCUGUGUUAGUGACCUGUGUCUCAUCCCAGUUACCGCUAUUAUUUACAAGUGUGACAGGACAAGACUUAUUAAUGUAUGAGAAUUCAAGCCUUCUUCUAACUAACCCCUGCCAACUGGCACAUCUCCACCCUAUUUCUUCUCUCCCUUCCCCAUCUUUGCCCUUUAUAGAGGGCCUUACAAUGCUAGAUAGGAUCUUUUGGGGAAUAAAGAAUUGAGAAUUGAGUUGGGGAGCAGAGAGGAACCAGAUCAGAGGGCAGUAAGGAGGGAGAAGGACUUGGCAAAAGAGGUGAAGCCUGUUUGCUUUCUUAAGAAUACAGGAGGGGCCAGGAGUGGUGGCUCAUGCCUAUAAUCCCAGCACUUUAGGAGGCCGAGGAAGGCAGGUCACGUGAGGUCAGAAGUUCGAGACCAGCCUGGCCAACAUGGCGAAACCCUGUCUCUACUAAAAAUAAAAAAAUCAGCUGGGCAUGGUGGCGGGUGCCUGUAAUCCUAGCUACUGGGGAGGCUGAGGCAGGAGUCAAGGACUCCAGUUCAAGGAGUCACUUGAACCUGGGAGGCGGAGGUUGCAGUGAGCAGAGAUCACACCACUGCACUUCAGCCUGGGUGACACAGUGAGACUCCGUCUCAAAAAAAAAAAAAAAAAAAAAGAAUACAGGAGGGAGAGUCAGGCAUGGUGGCACACAUCUGUAGUCUUAGCUACUCUGGAAGCUGAGACAGGAGGAUUGCUUGAGCCCGGGAGUUGAAGACCAGCCUGGGCAAAAUAGUGAGACCCCCAUCUCUUAAAAAAUAAAAAAAUAAAAAUAAAUGAAAGAAUGUAGGAGGGAGGUUUUACUACCACCCAAGAUAUAGGAAGCUAAAAAAAGCAUUGCUCCCAUCCCAGCAAGAAAAAGCCAGAUAAACUACAAAUCAUAACUUUUCUUGAAUCCAUCAGAGAUCUGAGGUCAGAGGACAACCAAAUACCCUGAAUUCCAAAGGGGGACAGGCACCUCCAAGGAGAGAUGAGAUCUAGGGAUUGGGUCACUUGUAACAGAGCAUAGGAAGAGGCACUGACCACCAUACAGGUAGAGAAGAAAAUAGCUUAAAGUUUAACAAAGGCUAAAAGCCAAGUGUUGGCUAGCUUGGCAGUCUAGAGUCCCAGAGGAAAGUUUUAGUAUACUCUCAGGCCCUUUUCCUUGGGCUUUCAUCAAGUACUGAUGAUCACAACUAGGGAAAGGCUGAGCGAUUGUAGAGAGCAGCCUUGGGUAGUGCAUAUGUGCAGGGAGAGUUCAGAAAUGACUACAGCAAAGACACACUGCCCUGUCUCCCUGCCCAAACCCUGCUCUCAUAUGGAAAAAAUUAACCCCAAUGUAUGAGGGGAGAGGUAACAAACCCUGUUACCCUCAAGGGCAUGGGCACAGGCAAGAUUCCAUUGCUGAUAGGUGAAGGAUAGAAGAAAAGGAAACUCUUCCAGGCCCAGAAUCCUAAACAAAUGCCACUAGAGACUUCUUACGAAUGGAAGAGGGCCGGAAACCCUAUCCAGUACAGACUCUGCACAGAUAUGAGGCAAACUUUGGCUUCCACUGGGAGGAGGGGCAGGAAUCCUGAACAAACCUCCCUCUCCCCACCAAGGCCCAAGCACACAGGGCCUGCCUAACACUGAGACUGGGACACAGCAAAGAGAAUGCCUCCCUGUCCCCACGAUGAGCCUGGCAAGCAUUUGUAACAAGCAAGAUCAGUCUGCUACUGGGAGAAGAGCAAGAAUGUGGAGAGGAAGCCCCUAUGUGGUACAGGAGUACAGAGAUGGCUGAAGCCUGAGAUCACUGAGAAAAAUCCUUCAGCAUCUCAUUUCCAGUCCUAAACCUGAGGCAAUUCUAGAAGAAUUCGAAGACUGCAAAACACUGAAGAUAACCCUAGUAACAACAAAACCCAAACCCAACUCAACUCCUGACUAGAUUGACUCAAUUCCACACACUAAUGAUCUGACAGAACAGGAGACAUGCCUUUUUCCAGGUGUAAUAACUAUUUAUCUCAGUGUCUACUGCUCGACAAUGUCUGACAUUCAAUCAAAAAUAAAAACACACAAAAAAAGGCAAGAAACAAACAACCCAUUGUCCAGAGACAAGGUAAUCAAUAAAUCCAGAUGCAGACAUGAUCCAUAUGUUGGAACUAUCAUAAGGGGACUUUAAACCAAAUAGGAGUAAUAUGUUAUAGAAUCUAAUAGAAAAAGUGGACAAUAUAAUCACCGUACUGGAGAUGAAAAAUUCCUUCUGUGGCUUGUCAGAAGACUCAAAACAACUGAGGAAUAAGUCAAUGGACUUGAAGAUGGUCAGUAGAUAUUACCCAAACUAAAAGAAAACAAGAGUAAAAACAAAGCAGCAACAACAAUAAAACAGCACAGAGAAUGCAUGAGUUAUGAGACAAUAUUUAACAGUCUAAAUAAGUGGAAUUGGAUCCCAAGAAGGAGGAGAAAGAGAAUGGGACACAAGACAUAUUAAGUAGAUAAUGGCUAGGAAUUUUCCAAAAAUAAUGAAAAACAUACACAGCAAACCACAGAUCCAAGAAGCUAAGAGAACCCCAAGAAGAAUAAAUAACAAAACGAAAGCAAAAACCAACCAGAAAAUCGACAUAUUUCAUCCUCAGAAACAUAAUAGAUAAACAAAAAAGAGAAGAUCUUGAAGACCCCCAAGGAAAAAAAGAAGGUACAUUGCUUAGAGAGGAACAAAGAUCAGAGCUGUAGAAGAAUUCUCAUAAGUAAUUACAUAAACCAGAAGACAGUUAGGUGACAUCUUCAAAGUACUGAAAGAGAAAACAAUAACAAGAACUGUUACCCAAAAAUAUAUUUCCAGUAAAAACUAUCUUCCCAAAGCGAAGGCAAAAUAAAGACCUUUUCAGAUAAACAAAAGCUGAGAGACAUCAUUGCCAGAAGGCCUGAGCUGCAAGAAGUGUUAGAAGUUCAGGAAGAAGGAAUACGAUGCCAGACAAAAUUUAGAUAUACACAGAAAAAAUGAGUAGCUCUAGAGAUUUUUUUUAAUGAAGGUAAGUGGAAAGAUUUUUUUUUUCUUCUAAUUGCGCUAAAAGAAAAUUGUCUAAAGCAAAAAUUGUGACAUUGUAUUUUGGGGUUUGUAGUUUAUAUAAAGGUAAAAUGUGUGACAGCAAUAACAUAAAAAAAUGGUCAGGAGGAAUUGAAAGUAUAUUGUUGCUGUAAAAUGUUUACACCUGUGCGAAGGCAUGUAAUAUUAUGCAUGUAUAUUAUUUGAAGGUAGACUGUGACAAAGAUGCAUAUUUUAAACUCUAGGAACCACACCCCCCACACCAAUUUAAAAAUAGGUAUGAGUAGUAAGACAAUGCUGGAGUGAAAAUGGAAUUUAAGAAAUACUCCAUCCAAAUGAAGGCAGAAAAAAGAAAAGUGGAACAAAGAAAAGAUGGAACAAACAGAAAAAUACUAGCAAAGUGGUUGAUUUAAAUUCAGCUCUAUUAAUAAUUACAUUAAAUGUAGAUAGUCUAAACACACCAGUUAAAAAAGAUUGUCAGAUUAGAGAAAAAAGCGAGACACACUACUUGUCAUCUACAAGAAACCCAUUUUAAUGUAAAGAUAUAGAUAGGUUAAAAGUAAACAAAUGGGGCUGGGCGCGGUGGCUCCAGCCUGUAAUCUCAGCACUUUGGAAGGCUGAAGCGGGCAGGUCACUUGAGGUCAGGCGUUCGAGACCAGCCUGGCCAACAUGGUGAAACCGCAUCUCUACUAAACUGGUGCCUGUAAUCCCAGCUAUUUGGGAGGCUGAGGCAAGAGAAUCGCUUGAACUUGGGAAAUGGAGGUUGCAGUGAGCCCAGAUCAUGCCACUGCACUCCAGCCUGGGUGACAAAGUGAGACUUUGUCUCAAAAAAAAAAAAAAAAAAAGUAAACCAAUGGGCCAGACAGGGUGGCUCACUCACACUUGUAAUCCCAGCGCUUUGGAGGUAGAAGCGUUGCUUGAGCCCAGGAGUUCAAGACCAGCUUGGGAAACAUGGUGAAACCCUGUCUCUACCAAAAAAAUACCCGCAUGAUGCUGCAUGCCUGUAGUUCCAGCUAGUCAGGAAGCUGAAGUGGGAGGGUCAUCUGAGCCUGGGGAGGUUGAGGCUGCAGUGAGCUGUGAUUGUGCCACUGCACUCCAGCGUGGGUGACAGAGUGAGACCCUGUCUCAAAAAAAAAAAGUAAAAUAAUGGGAAAUAAUAUACUAUUAAAACAUUAAUCAAAAGAAAGCCGAAUCCUGAAUCAAAGACUGGAGAAAGAAAAGUCAAAAAAAGAAGAAAAAAUUAAAAAAAGAAGACAGCUGAAGCGGCCAUAUUAAUAUCAAACUAGAUGCCAAUCAAAGCAAUAAGCAAAAUCACAAUGGUAGUAACCAUCUGUGUAAACCUCACAAACAUAAUGUUGAGCAAAAGAAGCCAGGCACAAGUAAAUACAUAUUGUAUGAUUCCUUUUUUAUAAGGUACAAAGGCAGGCAAAACUACGUUAGGUUGUUAGAGGACACGAUAGUGGUUACCAUUUGGCAGGUCAUAGUACUGACUGAAGAGGAGCUUUCAGGGUGCUGAUAAUGUUAUCUUUCUUGAUCUGAGUGCUGAUAACAUGGAUGUGUUCAGUUUGUAAAGUUCAUCGGGUCAGCGUUUUUCUAUGUGAAAAUUUCUGCAGUAUAUUAUACUGUGAGAGAAAGUUUUUUUAAAAGACAGUGUUAAAAUACACAGUAACAAUAGCAUGCAAUUUAGGAGUGGAAGAUAAAUGUGUUUGAAGGUCCUUUUAUUGCUCAAGAGGAGGAUAAAGAUAUUUACUACAUUAGGUUUUGGUAAAUUAAGGAUGAUCUUUUAAUUUCUAAGGAAAACACUAAGAAGAUUAAAAAAGAGUAUAUGUCUUUCAAAGCAGUAGAGGGAAAGACUGAAUGAUACCAAAUAAGUCAAUGAAGGGGAGAAAGGGGAGAAAAAUAAAUAAAACAGAUGGAAUAAACAGAAAGCACAAAAUAAGUGAUAGAUAUAAAUCCAAUAUGUCUGUAUUUAAAUUAAAUGUAAAUAGAGCAAAUGCUCUAGUUCAAAGACAAGUUUUCUGUUCAUCAAAAGGCCUUAUAAAGAGUGAAAAGCAAACCAUAAAGUAAGGGAAAAUAUUUGUGAUACAUACCAUCGGAGAAAACCUAUACCCAGAAUGCAUAAAGAAGUUCUAAGAAACAAUAAGAAAAAGAUAAGAGACAGGCAAAAUCUUGAACAGGCACUUCAUGAAAAGAAAAAUCAGUUGGCCAGUAAAUCCAGAAAAAUAAACUCAACCUUAAUAAUAAUUAGAAAAAGGGAAAUUAAAAAUACAAUUACCCUCAAAAUUAUUUGUCAUUAGGGGAAUGCACAUCAAAACAACAAUGAGAUUCCACUUAUUAGAAUGGCUGAAAUCCAAAAACCUGACAAUAACAAAUACCAAUGAGGAUGCAGGGGAACAGGAACUCUCAUUCAUUGCUGGUGGGAAUGCAAAAUAGUAUAGCUACUUUAAAAGACACUUUGACAGUUUCUUAUAAAGUUAAACAUAGACUUACCAUAUAACCCAGCAAUCACACUCCCAAGUAUUUAUUCAAGUGAACUGAAAAGUUAGAUAAACACAAAAUCCUGCACGUGAAUGUUUAUAGCAGCUUUAUUCAUUAUUGCCCCAAACAGAAAACAACCAAGAUGGCCUGCUCCUUCAAUAGGUGAAUGGACAAACGGUGUGUAUCGGUCGGGGUUCUCCAGAGAAACCGGAGGAUCUAUAUCCUAUUGGCUGUCUAUCUAUUGAAAUAGGAAGAGAUUGAAAGGAAUUGGCUCACAUGACUGUAGGGGCUGGCAAGUCGGAAAUUUGUAGGGCAGGCCAACAGGCUGGAAACUCAGGAAGGAGCUGAUGCUAUAGUCUUGAGGCCAAAUUUCUUCCUCUCUGGGAAAUCUCAGAUUUUGUUUUUAAGGCCGUCAACUGAUUAGAUGAGGCUACCCACAUGAUCAAAGGUAAUCACCUUUAGUUAAAGUAAACUGAGUAUAGAUGUUAAUCACAUCUACAAAAUACCUUCACAGAGACACAUAAAUUAGUGUUUGAUUGAAUAACUGGACAUACAGCCUAGCCAAGUUGACACAUAAAAUUAACCAUCACACUGUGGUACAAUGGAAUACUAUGCAGUGAUAAAGAGGAACUAGCUAUUAAUUCACAGAAAAAUUAUCAAUGAAUCUGAAAUGUAUUUUGCUAAGCGAAAGAAGCCAGACUUCAGAGGCCAUUUAUUGUAUGAUUUCAUAUAUAUGAAAAUUCUGGAAAAAGAAAAACUAGAGAGAUGAAAUAUAUGCAAGCAUGGUUUUUCAUCUCUGGAAAGAGAAAAACUAGAAGGAUGAAUAUGCAAUCAAGUGUUUGCCAGGGGUUUGGGGAAGGGGAGUUGACUAAAAAGGGAAAAUAUUAGGAAAUUUUUAGGGUGAUUGAAUUAUUCUGUAUGGUUCUGGAGUGGUGCAUACAUGAUACAAUACAAUGGUCAAAACCUUAGAAAUUUACAGCUCAAAAAAUGAACUUUAAUGAAUGUAAAAAAUUUUUUUGAUACAGGGUCUUACUCUGCUGCCCAGGCUGGAGUACAGUGGCGCAAUCACACUGCAGCCUCAACCUCCUAGACUCAG